rnacentral:miRNA from 1 species
CGGCCCCACGCACCAGGGUAA